CCUGCCUCUCCGUGAUGAAGUAUUUGCGGAUGUAAAUGAGCAUAGCUCGUCAACCCGAGAGCGCAUAACAACCGUGUGGAUGUUUCCGCUGCCUUCCUUCUGACUUCUGCAU
rnacentral:snoRNA from 1 species